AUUGAACGCUGGCGGCAUGCCUUACACAUGCAAGUCGAACGGUAACAGGUUAAGCUGACGAGUGGCGAACGGGUGAGUAAUAUAUCGGAACGUGCCCAGUCGUGGGGAUAACUACUCGAAAGAGUAGCUAAUACCGCAUACGACCUGAGGGUGAAAGCGGGGGAUCGCAAGACCUCGCGCGAUUGGAGCGGCCGAUAUCAGAUUAGGUAGUUGGUGGGGUAAAAGCUCACCAAGCCAACGAUCUGUAGCUGGUCUGAGAGGACGACCAGCCACACUGGGACUGAGACACGGCCCAG
rnacentral:rRNA from 1 species